rnacentral:rRNA from 1 species
UACGAAGGGGGCUAGCGUUGCUCGGAAUUCCUGGGCGUAAGGCGCACGUAGGCGGCUUCUUAAGUCGGUGGUGAAAUCCUGGAGCUCAACUCCAGAACUGCCUUCGAUACUGGGAAGCUCGAGUUCGGGAGAGGUGAGUGGAACUGCGAGUGUAGAGGUGAAAUUCGUAGAUAUUCGCAAGAACACCAGUGGCGAAGGCGGCUCACUGGCCCGAUACUGACGCUGAGGCACGAAAGCGCGGGGAGCAAACAGGAUUAGAAACCCCAGUAGU